AACGAACGCUGGCGGCGUGCUUAACACAUGCAAGUCGAACGAUGAAAGCUGGAGCUUGCUCCGGCUGGAUUAGUGGCGAACGGGUGAGUAACACGUGAGCAAUCUGCCCUUCACUCUGGGAUAACCUCGAGAAAUCGAUGCUAAUACCGGAUACGACGCGCUGGGGCAUCCCAUGCGCGUGGAAAGAAUUUUGGUGAAGGAUGAGCUCGCGGCCUAUCAGCUAGUUGGUGAGGUAAUGGCUCACCAAGGCGACGACGGGUAGCCGGCCUGAGAGGGUGACCGGCCACACUGGGACUGAGACACGGCCCAGACUCCUACGGGAGGCAGCAGUGGGGAAUAUUGCACAAUGGGCGAAAGCCUGAUGCAGCAACGCCGCGUGGGGGAUGAAGGCCUUCGGGUUGUAAACCUCUUUUAGCAGGGAAGAAGCGAAAGUGACGGUACCUGCAGAAAAAGCACCGGCUAACUACGUGCCAGCCGCCGCCGUAAUAC
rnacentral:rRNA from 1 species